rnacentral:rRNA from 1 species
UACGUAGGUGGCAAGCGUUGUCCGGAAUUAUUGGGCGUAAAGCGCGCGCAGGCGGUUCUUUAAGUCUGAUGUGAAAGCCCACGGCUCAACCGUGGAGGGUCAUUGGAAACUGGAGAACUUGAGUACAGAAGAGGAAAGCGGAAUUCCACGUGUAGCGGUGAAAUGCGUAGAGAUGUGGAGGAACACCAGUGGCGAAGGCGGCUUUCUGGUCUGUAACUGACGCUGAGGCGCGAAAGCGUGGGGAGCAAGCAGG